AUUGAACGCUGGCGGCAGGCCUAACACAUGCAAGUCGAGCGCGCGGCGGACGGGUGAGUAAUGUCUGGGCAACUUCCUGAUGGAGGGGGAUAACUCCUGGAAACGGUAGCUAAUACCGCAUCCCAUACGAUGUGCCCAGAUGGGGUUAGCUCGUAGGUGGGGUAACGCCUCACCUCGGCGACGAUCCCUAGCUGGUCUGAGAGGAUGACCAGCCACACUGGAACUGAGACACGGUCCAGACUCCUACGGGAGGCAGCAGUGGGGAAUAUUGCACAAUGGGCGCAAGCCUGAUGCAGCCAUGCCGCGUGUGUGAAGAAGGCCUUCGGGUUGUAAAGCACUUUCAGCGGGGAGGCGUUACCCGCAGAAGAAGCACCGGCUAACUCCGUGCCAGCAGCCGCGGUAAUUC
rnacentral:rRNA from 1 species